rnacentral:rRNA from 1 species
GAUGAACGCUGGCGGCGUGCCUAAUACAUGCAAGUCGAGCGAACAGACGAGGAGCUUGCUCCUCUGACGUUAGCGGCGGACGGGUGAGUAACACGUGGAUAACCUACCUAUAAGACUUGGAUAACUUCGUGAAACCGGAGCUAAUACCGGUUAAUAUAUUGAACCGCAUGGUUCAAUAGUGAAAGACGGUUUUGCUGUCACUUAUAGAUGGAUCAGCGCCGCAUUAGCUAGUUGGUAAGGUAACGGCUUACCAAGGCAACGAUGCGUAGCCGACCUGAGCGGGUGAACGAACAAACAAGAGCUGCACAACAGUCCAAAAUCCUACGGGAGGCAGACGAAGGGACUCGUCCGAAGUGGGCGGAAGCCUGACAGAGAAACGCCACGUGAGUGAUGAGGGACUAGGGAUCGUGAAAAGCUGUUAUCGGGGGAGAACAAAUGUAGAAGUAACUAUGCACAACUUGACGAUACCUAAUCAGAAAGGCACGACUAAGUAAGUA